UACGUAGGGUGCAAGCGUUGUCCGGAAUUAUUGGGCGUAAAGAGCUCGUAGGCGGUCUGUCGCGUCUGCUGUGAAAACUCAGGGCUUAACCCUGAGCUUGCAGUGGGUACGGGCAGACUAGAGUGCGGUAGGGGGAGACUGGAAUUCCGUGGUGUAGCGGUGGAAAUGCGCAGAUAUCAGGAGGAACACCGAUGGCGAAGGCAGGUCUCUGGGCCAUUACUGACACUGGAGAAGCGAAAGCAUGGGGAGCGAACAGG
rnacentral:rRNA from 1 species